AUAGAUUCUUUUAUUUCUGUAAAUUCCGUGAGCUUUGUUAUGUCACAGCUAAGUUGCUCAGAAAUGCGUUGGUUGUACAUUGCUUGGUGUCGGAGACUCACUCUGAGAAGCUGUUAGGCCAAUUUGCACUGCGAAUGGCAUAAAGAGCACGUACAUCUUCAGACCAGUCCCUCCACGUGGCCUCGUGAUGGGGCAGCCAGUGCCUUGUGAAGACACAUGCAGUGCAGUAAAAAAUCAGCGAAUGUUAAGUUUUUAUUAAAUUUUUUCUGGAGCAGCUCUGGAAGUCCUCUUUCACCAGCAUCUUCAGUUGCACGGAUGUGGCUGCCUUGAUGUCCUGAGUGCAUUCAAAAUGUCUACCUUUUGUGGUCAUUGUGACCUUGGGGGAGCCAGAAGUCACACAGUGCUGACCCAGAGAGGAAGUGAUAAAGACAGACAGAGCUUUUUGGCCAAGCGGACCGGCUUGCCCUGGAUUCUCGCUCAGGUGUCUGCAGAUACAAUGGGGAGAGGAGUGAGGUGUGGCUCCCGUUCACCAAGGACAGGAGUGGGCAUCCUGCUUCCCCAGCACAAGCUCUCAGGGCCGGAG
rnacentral:lncRNA from 1 species